GUGGGGAAUAUUGGACAAUGGGCGAAAGCCUGAUCCAGCCAUGCCGCGUGUGUGAAGAAGGUCUUCGGAUUGUAAAGCACUUUAAGUGGGGAGGAGGCUUACCUGGUUAAUACCUGGGCUAAGUGGACGUUACCCACAGAAUAAGCACCGGCUAACUCUGUGCCAGCAGCCGCGGUAAUACAGAGGGUGCGAGCGUUAAUCGGAUUUACUGGGCGUAAAGCGCGCGUAGGUGGUUAAUUAAGUCAAAUGUGAAAUCCCCGAGCUUAACUUGGGGAUUGCAUUCGAUACUGGUUAGCUAGAGUAUGGGAGAGGAUGGUAGAAUUCCAGGUGUAGCGGUGAAAUGCGUAGAGAUCUGGAGGAAUACCGAUGGCGAAGGCAGCCAUCUGGCCUAAUACUGACACUGAGGUGCGAAAGCAUGGGGAGCAAACAGGAUUAGAAACCCGAGUAGUCC
rnacentral:rRNA from 1 species